ACCUGGCUUGGCUCAGUUGGCAGAGCAUGAGACUCUGAAUCUCAUGGUCCUGGGUUCAAGACCCACAUUGGGCA